GAUGAACGCUAGCUACAGGCUUAACACAUGCAAGUCGAGGGACCGGCGCACGGGUGAGUAACACGUAUCCAACCUGCCCUUUACUCGGGGAUAGCCUUUCGAAAGAAAGAUUAAUACCCGAUAUAAAGGAUGGGGAUGCGUUCCAUUAGGUUGUUGGUGAGGUAACGGCCCACCAAGCCUUCGAUGGAUAGGGGUUCUGAGAGGAAGGUCCAGCACAUUGGAACUGAGACACGGUCCAAACUCGUACGGGAGGCAGCAGUGAGUAAUGUUGGUCAAUGGUCUGUAGCCUGAAACAGCCAAGUAGCGUGAAGGAUGAGUGCUUAUGGGUCUUAAUCUUCUUUUAUAUAAGAAUAUGUAUUAUAUGAAUAAGGAUCGGCUAACUCCGUGCCAGCAGCCGCGGUAAUAC
rnacentral:rRNA from 1 species